UGGUAAAGAAACCCCCGGCUAAACUCCGUGCCAGCAGCCGCGGUAAUACGGAGGGGGUUAGCGUUGUUCGGAAUUACUGGGCGUAAAGCGCGCGUAGGCGGACUAGUCAGUCAGAGGUGAAAUACCCACGGGCUCAACCCUGGAACUGCCUUUGAUACUGCUAGUCUUGAGUUCGAGAGAGGUGAGUGGAAUUCCGAGUGUAGAGGUGAAAUUCGUAGAUAUUCGGAGGAACAACCAGUGGCGAAGGCGGCUCACUGGCUCGAUACUGACGCUGACGGUGCGAAAGCGUGGGGAGCCAAACAGGAUUAGAUACCCCUGGUAG
rnacentral:rRNA from 1 species